rnacentral:rRNA from 1 species
AUUGAACGCUGGCGGCAUGCCUUACACAUGCAAGUCGAACGGCAGCACGGGUGCUUGCACCUGGUGGCGAGUGGCGAACGGGUGAGUAAUAUAUCGGAACGUACCUUAUUGUGGGGGAUAACGCAGCGAAAGCUGUGCUAAUACCGCAUAAUCCCUAAGGGGGAAAGCGGGGGACCGUAAGGCCUCGCGCAAUUAGAGCGGCCGAUACCUGAUUAGCUAGUUGGUGAGGUAAAGGCUCACCAAGGCAACGAUCAGUAGCUGGUCUGAGAGGACGAUCAGCCACACUGGGACUGAGACACGGCCCAGACUCCUACGGGAGGCAGCAGUGGGGAAUUUUGGACAAUGGGGGCAACCCUGAUCCAGCAAUGCCGCGUGAGUGAAGAAGGCCUUCGGGUUGUAAAGCUCUUUUGUCAGUGAAGAAAACUUUAAUAAUAACACUAUUAAAGCAUGACGGUAACUGAAGAAUAAGGACCGGCUAACUACGUGCCAGCCGCCGCCGUAA